CCUACGGGUGGCAGCAGUGAGGAAUAUUGGUCAAUGGACGAGAGUCUGAACCAGCCAAGUAGCGUGAAGGAUGACUGCUCUAUGGGUUGUAACCUUCUUUUAUAUGGGAAUAAAAUGAUCCACGCGUGGGUUUUUGUAUGUAUCAUAUGAAUAAGGAUCGGCUAACUCCGUGCCAGCAGCCGCGGUAAUACGGAGGAUCCAAGCGUUAUCCGGCUUUAUUGGGUUUAAAGGGAGCGUAGGUGGAGUGUUAAGUCAGUUGUGAAAGUUUGCGGCUCAACCGUAAAAUUGCCGUUGAAACUGGCAGUCUAGAGAACAGUAGAGGUGGGCGGAAUUCGUGGUGUAGCGGUGAAAUGCUUAGAGAUCACACAGAACACCGAUUGCGAAGGCAGCUCACUGGACUGCAACUGACACUGAGGCUCGAAAGUGUGGGGAUCAAACAGGAUUAGAUACCCUAGUAGUC
rnacentral:rRNA from 1 species